rnacentral:lncRNA from 1 species
UCCUAGGAAUUUUGGGUCCAUGACUGAAAGAUCUUAAGCAAAAGAAUAAAGUUGGCAUUGUGAGAGCAGUGGAGACAGAAACGGAGAGAAAGGAGGCAUUCCUGAAGACCCCCAUCCCUGACUGUCCCCCUGGGGCCCAGCUUCAUCCUCAACUUGGAGUCCUGAGAUAACUCCAUACUCCACCAAUACAUCUUCUCCUUUCUCUCUCUCCCCUGCUUUUAUUUUUUUGCUAGAAUUGGUUUCUGCUCCUUGCAGACAGAUUAAUACACCAGGGCAAGAGGUAUGUAAUGGAUGAGUCAAAGACAGGAAGAGCAAAUGCCACAACUUUCAACACACUCACGGGUCAUUGACUGUUCCCUCAGACUUUCCAUUUUCUCCCUCUGUGCUUUCAUUGGAAAGAAAGUGCAGUUUUCAUGGAAGGAAAAGAAACUAGCUGGUUGGGGAGAAUAUCAGUGAGUGACGCUUCUUUUCUAAGAAGUGGAGGAAUUGAGAGAGGAAUGCCAAGCCGCAGAAUGUUAGCCUCGCACAUUCCUGAUUCCGAUGCUGAUUCAGCUGUGCAGACACCAAAAUCCCCAAAGAUGCCUGCUCUUCAUAAUGGUUGAUUCCAAGAGAGAAAAAGAAAAUGUAGCCAAUGACUAUAUUCCUAUUUUUCCUAGAUCAAAAUCAGAAGAUCAGCCCUUCCCAACACCAUAGUUUGCUGAGAAACUCAGCACGGUAUUCAUUUAUAUGCCUUAACAUAGCACCAUGUAAGGGUUGGCCUCUGUCAUGUAAAUCCCAGACAUUUCCCUUUUUGGAAGAAAUUUUGCAAACCUUCUAAAUCUUACCCCUUCAUUGAACUUCCGCGAUGAUUUUAAGAGGCUGUUUGCAAGCAAGAAAUAAUACUGAAUUACAUCUCAUUAUCUUCUGAACUGUCUCUUCUACUUUAAAUGGGCAAUCAUUUUGUUUUCCAGAGGUGGAAACCUAUCUUUCAUAGACCAGCACUACUGUUAUUACUUGGAACUACAUGGUCCACUGUGACAGUCAUUAGCCACAUGUGGCUAUUGAACCCUUGAAAUGUGGCUAAACUGAAUUGAGAUGUUCUACACGUGUAAAGUACACACUGGAUUUUAAAGUCUUACUGAGAAGAAAAUCAUUAUUAGUUUUUUAUAUUAAUUACAUUUCAAAUGAUAAUAUUUUGGACAUAUUGGGUUAAGAUAUAUUAUUGAAAUUAAUUUCAUUUGUUUCUACCAACUUAGUUUGGCUCCUAGAUAAUUUUAAAUCACGUAUGUGUCUUGCAUCUUAUUUCUACCAGUGAAUCUCAAUCCUUGCUGCAUAUAAGAAUCACCCAGAGAGCUUUUGAAACAUACCUGAUGGCAGGCUCUUUCCUCAGACAGAAUAUCUGGGAUUGGGGCUCACCCCUGGUAUUUUGUACUUUUUGGAAAGUUCCCUAGGUGACUCUGACGUGUAGCCAAUGUUGAGCCAACUGCUCUAAACUCUGGAAUUCUAUGAUUCUGAGAUUCUACUGACAACUCAUGCAGGUUAAAAGUUCAGAGUUGUUUUGUCCUUAUUCUGUGUAAUCAACUUUGUCUGUUCUCAUCUAUUUCUCUCUAAAGAAACAAUGAAAUGUUUUUGGAGUCAUGCAAGUUAGAACUUUU